rnacentral:rRNA from 1 species
GACGAACCGUGCGAACGUUUGUUCGGAUUCACUGGGCUUAAAGGGCGCGUAGGCGGGCCAGCAUGUCCGGGGUGAAAUCUUUCGGCUUAACCGGAAAAGGGCUUCGGAAACGGCUGGUCUUGAGGGAGGUAGGGGCAGGUGGAACUUCCGGUGGAGCGGUGAAAUGCGUUGAGAUCGGAAGGAACGCCGGUGGCGAAAGCGACCUGCUGGACCUCUUCUGACGCUGAGGCGCGAAAGCCAGGGGAGCAAACGGG